CAAGACAACUUUACGGAGUUGACGAUUGACGGAGCGAAGCGACGUCAAAGCGUUCAUUAAAGUCGAGUUGGCUUAGGGAUACGUUCGUUGGGUAGGGGAGCGUUCUGUAAGCCUGUGAAGGUGGCCUGUGAGGGUUGCUGGAGGUAUCAGAAGUGCGAAUGCUGACAUAAGUAACGAUAAUGCGGGUGAAAAACCCGCACGCCGGAAGACCAAGGGUUCCUGUCCAACGUUAAUCGGGGCAGGGUGAGUCGACCCCUAAGGCGAGGCCGAAAGGCGUAGUCGAUGGGAAACAGGUUAAUAUUCCUGUACUUGGUGUUACUGCGAAGGGGGGACGGAGAAGGCUAUGUUAGCCGGGCGACGGUUGUCCCGGUUUAAGCAUGUAGGCGGAGGUUCCAGGUAAAUCCGGUACCUUAUUAACGCUGAGGUGUGAUGACGAGGCACUACGGUGCUGAAGUAACAAAUGCCCUGCUUCCAGGAAAAGCCUCUAAGCAUCAGGUAACAUCAAAUCGUACCCCAAACCGACACAGGUGGUCAGGUAGAGAAUACCAAGGCGCUUGAGAGAACUCGGGUGAAGGAACUAGGCAAAAUGGUGCCGUAACUUCGGGAGAAGGCACGCUGACA
rnacentral:rRNA from 1 species